GAGAGAAAGUAGUCCAUUUUGGUUAUGCAAACAUUGGAUUUGACUAGAUGAUGGAACUAUAAUUACGGAAGUUGGGGAGAGGGAGAGAGAGGGUCAAACGCAUGUGAAGCGUGUGAAGCUUCAAAGAAGCUGAGCGCGGGUGGAGACGAUCGACCGCCUACACGACUUUUAGGCCCCAACUCGUGGAACAACGACAUGGAUGCUUUCCUUUUACUCAAUUUUCCUCCCCCUCCUCCUUUUGAAUUUUGUUAUAAAGAGUUGGGUGGGUGCUUCCGCGUUCAUUCUUCUUCAUCUUCGUUCUUGAUUGCUGAGGGCGCGGUCUUACGAGUUCAAGAACGAGGGUGCGCUCUUACAAGUUUGAGGAUUGUCCGGGUUUUGGCUUCGUGGGUCUUUAUGUUACUGCCAUGGAGAGGCAAUCUGGCGCUUCCCUCUCUAUAAGAACCGAGCUUCUUAAUAUGAUCAAGAAGGGUACAUGUUUGAAUGCAUCAUCCUCCGACAGUGGGAAAGGGAAGAGCAAAUACUCAAGUAACAAAGUAACACAUGGAUUUCAUCUGGUUGAAGGAAAAGCUGGUCAUGACAUGGAGGACUAUCAUGUUGCAGAAUACAGGGUUGUAAACAGUCGUGAGCUUGGGUUGUUUGCAAUUUUUGAUGGGCAUCUUGGUGAUAGUGUUCCAAGCUAUCUCCAGGCAAACUUGUUCAACAAUAUAUUACAAGAGCCCAAUUUUUGGACAGAUCCUGUUUCAUCCAUCAAAAUUGCCUACCACCUCACAGACAAGUAUAUUUUAGAAAACCCUACACGUUUAGGUCCUGGUGGAUCCACUGCAGUUACUGCGAUUGUAAUUGAUGGACAACUAUUACUAAUAGCAAAUGUAGGUGAUUCUAGAGCUGUUCUAUGUGACAAAGGCUCAGCUGUACAGCUUACUGUUGACCAUGAACCACGUACUGAGAGGAAAAGAAUAGAAAAACGAGGUGGUUUUGUGACUGUUCUUCCAGGAGAUGUUCCAAGGGUCAAUGGUCAGCUUGCAGUUGCACGUGCAUUUGGUGAUCAAAACCUUAAAGCACAUUUAAGUUCGGAACCGGAUGUAAAACACAUCAGUUUGGACCAGGGAAUCGAGUUCGUUGUAUUGGCCAGUGAUGGCUUGUGGAAGGUCAUUGAAAACCAAGAAGCUGUUGACUUGGUCAGAGCAAUUAAAGAUCCUCAAGCUGCAGCAAAGCGCUUGACCACUGAAGCACUGAACAGAAAGAGCAAGGAUGACAUCUCAUGCAUUGUUAUUCGUUUCAGACGCUAGCAUUCUGUAUUUUGAAUGUUCUGCAGCUGCCAUAGUUCUAUUGAAAAAGAAAGUGAUCAUCCUUCCAGUUACCCUUGGGUUUCUCAUUUGAACGGAGUUCAGUGGGUCCGCUUGAUGGCAGUUUGUGUUCUAGAGUCUAGAAUACACAGGCUUGAGUUCUGACUCUGGUUCAAUCAGUGGAAUCCGUAAAAUUGAUCGCAGUGUUAGAAGCCUAGAACUGAACAACUAUCAUACUUUCAUCUAUUAUUGUGCCUGAAGAAUAGAAAUGUGGAAGCUGAAGUGGGCAAAAGAUGCAUGAUUCAUGGUUCAGUGGGAAUCAUACAGGUUAUGUAGAAAGUUGACGCAACUUUCACCAUUUUUUCGUGUAAUUGAAGCCCAACUAUCCAAAUGCUCAUGAUACUGAUUAGUUCUGUUGCAAGGCUAGUAUUUUAGCCUAUGAAUAGAUCGGUCAAUUCUUCUAAUUUAUGUAAAAGGUGCAUUUGUCAAGUGUAUGUGAGAGGAUAAUCGCCAUUUUAUCAUCUGUCAUGUCUCUCUACAAGAGAGGAACGACUGAAAGGACUUUGAUCAAGUGGUUCACUUCUGCUGGUUAAGUGAGACGGCUUUUUUCAAUAUCGAUAUUC